GCGACUUCUUCGAAAUAUAAACACAACUGGCAGCUUUCAAAUCGAGACAUAGCUUUUUAAUGAACUCAAUUUACAUUUGGUAUGAAACUAUCUUUCCAUAUUCUGUGUAGUGUGGUGUGUCUGUUCACCUCCAUUGUCACCAGUCUGGUGCCAACAGGAAUGUUUCAGACCAAAUGUCUUGAACGUCAUUUCUGGCUUUCUGUCAAGUCCGGCUUCAUUGGCUCGAGGAUCCACUUUGACUUUGAAGAUCAGUAUGGAUUCCACUCCUUGUCUACCCAGGAGGCCACACUGUGUGGUUACAAUGUCCUGAUCAAUGAUGUUGGAGACUUGGUGUUUCGUGCCUCCUUCCUGGCCUGUCAUGUCCACAGCGAGG